GAUGAACGCUAGCUACAGGCUUAACACAUGCAAGUCGAGGGGAAACGGCAUCGAAAGCUUGCUUUUGAUGGGCGUCGACCGGCGCACGGGUGAGUAACGCGUAUCCAACCUGCCCAUCACUUGGGAAUAACCUUGCGAAAGUAAGACUAAUGCCCAAUGACAUCCCACGAAGGCAUCCGAAUGGGAUUAAAGAUUUAUCGGUGAUGGAUGGGGAUGCGUCUGAUUAGCUUGUUGGCGGGGUGACGGCCCACCAAGGCAACGAUCAGUAGGGGUUCUGAGAGGAAGGUCCCCCACAUUGGAACUGAGACACGGUCCAAACUCCUACGGGAGGCAGCAGUGAGGGAUAUUGGUCAAUGGGCGAGAGCCUGAACCAGCCAAGUAGCGUGCAGGAUGACGGCCCUAUGGGUUGUAAACUGCUUUUAUAAGGGAAUAAAGUGGGUCACGUGUGACUUUUUGCAUGUACCUUAUGAAUAAGGACCGGCUAAUUCCGUG
rnacentral:rRNA from 1 species